UUAAUCCUCACAGUGACUGUGAGGUAGGUAUGGGUAUCUCCCUUUUCACAGAUGAGAACAUGGGAGCUCAGAGGGGCUGAGCAGCUUGCCAAAUUUGUGCCAUAGGUAGUGGCAGAACUGUUUUUGUAAUCUGAUUCUCUCAACUCUCCCCCUAACUCCCUGCCUCUGCAUGGAAAUCUGUAUUAGGGGCACUUGUGCCUGUUCUUCCCACCACUCCUGGGGUCUCCUUUUCUCCCCCAGCAACAGCCAUGCUCAGCUGUUGAACUCAGUAAAUAAUUGCUGAAUGAUUAAUCUCUCUCAUGACUGCUCUGUGUGUGAGGGUUCCUUAAUUACCAAAACUUUAAGGCAUGUCUCAUUGUAAAUGUUUUGAAAUUGUAUAUGGUAAAGUGUAAAAACAUGUGGUGUGUUAAUGUUGAUAUCUCACCUUGAGUUCAUCUGUCUCUUGCCUAAAGGUGUUUUUAUAUCCAUGUAGAGUGUCUUUUACUCUAUGGCUCCUGAUCUGCCAUGUGGUCAACAGAUUUAAUAACUUAUCAAUUUCAUAUGAGGCUUAUCUUGAAGCUGAGUGUGAAGUGGCUUCAGGGUCAGAGAGCUGGGUCUUGCAGAUUCCUGGUGCUUUUUCGAGGCUCUGUUGGGCUCUACUGAGCAUGGUUUUGCACAGUUCCCCUGCCCUUACCCUGGCUGUGGGACCCUGGGAUAGGUGUUUGAACGGAGUUAUAAUAGCGUGUGUCAGUUAUGUUGGAUCAUUGUGAAUUCUGCUCCGUCUUUGUUUC
rnacentral:lncRNA from 1 species